rnacentral:rRNA from 1 species
GGUGAAAAGAACCCCGGGAGGGGAGUGAAAUAGAUCCUGAAAUUUAGUGCCUACAAGGAGUCGGAGCCGGCUUGUCCGGUGCCG